UUGCAUGUUCAGGUUUCUGUCCUGAACUCUAAGUGUCUCUGGAUUACGCAGCCUGCUUUAAUUUACAGUUUAUUUUAUCUGACACCUCCAGCGCUGUCGUUUCAUUUUCAGGUUUGUAUUCUGAGCUCUAAGUUUCUCUCAAUUACGCAGCCUGAUUUAAUUCAUUAGUUUAUUUUUAUCUGACGUCUCCCAGCGAAGCUGUUGCAUUUUCCGGUUUCUAUUCUGAGCUCUAAGUGUCUCUGGAUUACGCAGCCCGCUUUAAUUUACAAUUUGUUUUAUUUGACGUCUCCAGCGCUGUCGUUGCAUUUUCAGGUUUCUGUUCUGAGCUCAGUGUCUCUGGAUCAUGCAGCCUGCUUCAAUUCCCAGUUUAUUUUAUCUGAUGUGUCUCAGCGCUGAUGUUGCAUUUUCAGGUUUCUGUCCUGAGCUCCCAAUGUCUCUGGAUUACGCACCCGGCUCUAAUUCACAGUUCAUUUUAUUGACGUCUCCAGCACUGUUUUUGCAUUUUCAGCUUUCUGACCAGAUCUCUAAGUGUCUCUGGAUUAUGCAGCCUGCUUUAAUUUAUAGUUUAUUUAUAUCUGACGUCUCCCUGCACUGCUGUUUUAUUUUAGCAGCAUUUGAAAACUGUGAAUCUGAUGAUCUGUGAUUUCUCCUCUCGUCUGGAGCCUCCAGGCCUUGCGGCGGCUGCAUUCACAGGACGCACAGACGCUGACCGAGCAGAAGUGUGCAAGGACACCAAUGCUUUUAUUUUAUUUUCUCUCCCCUCAGGCUCGCUUUGAAUGUGAAAAGGAGGCUGCGGUUUCCUUCCCGAGGGCCCUCAGACGCCGCUCCUCCUCCUCCUCCUCCUCCUCCUCC
ensembl:lncRNA